rnacentral:rRNA from 1 species
GAUGAACGCUGGCGGCGUGCCUAAUACAUGCAAGUCGAGCGAACAGACGAGGAGCUUGCUCCUCUGACGUUAGCGGCGGACGAGUGAGUAACACGUGGAUAACCUACCUAUAAGACUGGGAUAACUUCGGGAAACCGGAGCUAAUACCGGAUAAUAUAUUGAACCGCAUGGUUCAAUAGUGAAAGACGGUUUUGCUGUCACUUAUAGAUGGAUCCGCGCCGCAUUAGCUAGUUGGUAAGGUAACGGCUUACCAAGGCAACGAUGCGUAGCCGACCUGAGAGGGUGAUCGGCCACACUGGAACUGAGACACGGUCCAGACUCCUACGGGAGGCAGCAGUAGGGAAUCUUCCGCAAUGGGCGAAAGCCUGACGGAGCAACGCCGCGUGAGUGAUGAAGGUCUUCGGAUCGUAAAACUCUGUUAUUAGGGAAGAACAAAUGUGUAAGUAACUAUGCACGUCUUGACGGUACCUAAUCAGAAAGCCACGGCUACUACGUG